rnacentral:rRNA from 1 species
UACCCGCUGAAUUUAAGCAUAUAAGUAAGCGGAGGAUACAAAACUAAAUAGGAUUCCUUCAGUAAUGGCGAAUGAACAGGGACAAGCUCAGGAUGGUAAUUGGGGUGUGCUGCCUUGAAUUGUAGUCUCGGGAUGUGUUGCCAACGGAGGCGCAAAUGUAAGUUUCUUGGAAAAGAGCACUGGCUAGGGUGAAAGUCCCGCUUGCCAUUUGCAGACCACCGUGUACGGUGCACCUUCUAAGAGUCACGUUGCUCGGAAGUGCAGCGCAAAGUGGGUGGUAAUUUUCAUCUCAGGCCAAAUAUUGACUCGAGACCGAAAGCAAACAAGUACCGUAAGGGAAGGAUGAAAAGGACUUUGAAAAGAGAGUUAAAAGUGCCUGAAGUUGCUGAGAGGGAAGCGGAUGAAACCAGUUCGCCUGGUGAGAUUGUUGCACGCUAAAGUGAUUGGCUACUUCAGCAACGUAAGUGCCCAAGUAGGUCCUGAUCCGGAUGCGUGCGGUGUUUCUUGCCUUGCAUGUCAACGCCAGUUCACAGAGGGAGAGAUUUCACGGGACAUGAAAGUCUGCCCCAGGGCCGGCGAAGGUGCCCAGCAAAAUCUGUGUGUGGACUGAGCUCGGGGUGUCUGGUUGCAAUGCUCUGCAGACAUGAUUUCUGCAUGCGCAGCACGAGGGUGCACCCAAGACACAGAGGUGGUGACAACAUGGUUCUAUCCGACCCGUCUUGAAACACGGACCAAGGAGUCUAACAUAUGUGCAAGUCUCCUGGGAGACAAACUGGUCGCGCAGUGAAAGCAACUGCUGGGAUAAUUGCACCAGCGUUCGACCAAUCACUUGAGAGAGGUUUGAGUAGGAGCAUGUCUGUUAGGACCCGAAAGAUGGUGAACUAUGCCUGAGAAGGGCAAACUCAGGGGAAACUCUGAUGGAGGCUCGUAGCGAUACUGACGUGCAAAUCGUUCGUCGUACUUGGGUAUAG